rnacentral:rRNA from 1 species
GUAGUCAUAUGCUUGUAAAGAUUAAGCCAUGCAUGUCUAAGUAUAAGCAAUUAUACCGCGAAACUGCGAAUGGCUCAUUAAAUCAGUUAUCGUUUAUUUGAUAGUACCUUACUACAUGGAUAACCGUGGUAAUUCUAGAGCUAAUACAUGCUAAAAAUCCCGACUUCGGAAGGGAUGUAUUUAUUAGAUUAAAAACCAAUGNCCUUCGGGGCUCUCUGGUGAUUCAUAAUAACUUCUCGAAUCGCAUGGCCUUGCGCCGGCGAUGGUUCAUUCAAAUUUCUGCCCUAUCAACUUUCGACGGCUGGGUCUUGGCCAGCCGUGGUGACAACGGGUAACGGAGGGUUAGGGCUCGACCCCGGAGAAGGAGCCUGAGAAACGGCUACUACAUCCAAGGAAGGCAGCAGGCGCGCAAAUUACCCAAUNCCGACACGGGGAGGUAGUGACAAUAAAUACUGAUACAGGGCUCUUUCGGGUCUUGUAAUUGGAAUGAGUACAAUUUAAAUCCCUUAACGAGGAACAAUUGGAGGGCAAGUCUGGUGCCAGCAGCC